rnacentral:rRNA from 1 species
UACGUAGGGGGCAAGCGUUGUCCGGAUUUAUUGGGCGUAAAGAGCGUGUAGGCGGCCAAACAGGUCAGCUGUGAAAACUCGAGGCUCACCUCGAGACGUCGGUUGAAACCGUUUGGCUAGAGUCCGGAAGAGGAGAGUGGAAUUCCCGGGUGUAGCGGUGAAAUGCGCAGAUAUCGGGAAGAACACCCGUGGCGAAGGCGGCUCUCUGGGGACGGUACUGACGCUGAGACGGCGAAAGCCUAGGGGAGCAAACAGGG